rnacentral:rRNA from 1 species
AGAUUGAACGCUGGCGGCAUGCCUUACACAUGCAAGUCGAACGGCAGCACGGGGGCAACCCUGGUGGCGAGUGGCGAACGGGUGAGUAAUGCAUCGGAACGUGCCCAGUAGUGGGGGAUAACUAGUCGAAAGAUUAGCUAAUACCGCAUACGACCUUUGGGUGAAAGCGGGGGAUUCGCAAGAACCUCGCGCUAUCGGAGCGGCCGAUGUCUGAUUAGCUAGUUGGCGGGGUAAAGCCCACCAAGGCUUCGAUCAGUAGC